AACGAACGCUGGCGGCAGGCUUAACACAUGCAAGUCGAGCGCCCCGCAAGGGGAGCGGCAGACGGGUGAGUAACGCGUGGGAAUCUACCCAUCACUACGGAACAACUCCGGGAAACUGGAGCUAAUACCGUAUACGUCCUUCGGGAGAAAGAUUUAUCGGUGAUGGAUGAGCCCGCGUUGGAUUAGCUAGUUGGUGGGGUAAUGGCCCACCAAGGCGACGAUCCAUAGCUGGUCUGAAAGGAUGAUCAGCCACACUGGGACUGAGACACGGCCCAGACUCCUGCGUGAGGCAGCAGUGGGGAAUAUUGGACAAUGGGCGCAAGCCUGAUCCAGCCAUGCCGCGUGAGUGAUGAAGGCCCUAGGGUUGUAAAGCUCUUUCACCGGUGAAGAUAAUGACGGUAACCGGAGAAGAAGCCCCGGCUAACUUCGUGCCAGCCGCCGCCGUAA
rnacentral:rRNA from 1 species